rnacentral:rRNA from 1 species
AACGAACGCUGGCGGCAGGCCUAACACAUGCAAGUCGAACGCCCCGCAAGGGGAGUGGCAGACGGGUGAGUAACGCGUGGGAACCUACCCAGUGGUACGGAACAACCCAGGGAAACUUGGGCUAAUACCGUAUACGCCCCUAGGGGGAAAGAUUUAUCGCCAUUGGACGGGCCCGCGUUGGAUUAGCUAGUUGGUGGGGUAAUGGCCUACCAAGGCAACGAUCCAUAGCUGGUCUGAGAGGAUGAUCAGCCACACUGGGACUGAGACACGGCCCAGACUCCUACGGGAGGCAGCAGUGGGGAAUCUUGGACAAUGGGCGCAAGCCUGAUCCAGCCAUGCCGCGUGAGUGAAGAAGGCCCUAGGGUUGUAAAGCUCUUUCGGCGGGGACGAUAAUGACGGUACCCGCAGAAGAAGCCCCGGCUAACUCCGUGCCAGCCGCCGCAGUAAAAC